GGAUUGAACGCUGGCGGCAGGCCUAACACAUGCAAGUCGAGCGGUAGAGAGGUGCUUGCACCUCUUGAGAGCGGCGGACGGGUGAGUAAUGCCUAGGAAUCUGCCUAGUGGUGGGGGAUAACGUUCGGAAACGGACGCUAAUACCGCAUACGUCCUACGGGAGAAAGCGGGGGACCUUCGGGCCUCGCGCCAUUAGAUGAGCCUAGGUCGGAUUAGCUAGUUGGUGAGGUAAUGGCUCACCAAAGGCGACGAUCCGUAAACUGGUCUGAGAGGAUGAUCAGUCACACUGGAACUGAGACACGGUCCAGACU
rnacentral:rRNA from 1 species